rnacentral:tRNA from 1 species
GGGAUUGUGGCUCAGUGAUAGAGCACUCACCUAGCAUGUGUGAGGCACUGGGUUCAAUCCUCAGCACCA